ensembl:lincRNA Gm16337 predicted gene 16337
ACUUAUCAAAAAGAUUAUAAAGAUAACACUAGCAAAGUACCUCCCUCUGGAAAUCCCAAUAAAGGACCUGGCUUAAAAAUAAAUCUCUCCAAGAAUGAUACCCUGUUAUGAAUUUUAGGGAGUUCUUAAGUAUAUAUUCUCAUACCAUCUACAGUUUCCAGAACCUAGGGAGGACAGCUAACAAUCUAAUAGCAAUGUCGAGUGAGAAACAAUUGGAAUUUUAUGAGCAAAAGCUUUCUGUUUAUAAGCACAUCACUUGCAGAGAGGCUUACAAUGUUACAAUGUUACAAUGAAUACGAACCCUCUGAAUAAGCAUGGAUCGCAGACAGGGCUUGUGGAUGAACAGUUUCAAUACUGGAAGAGAAGUAAUGGAGUGACAGUGUGCACAACAGGAAGACAGUCUUCGCGGCUCGGAAGGACAGCCCAGGUUAUAACACGUGAGCCGUCCACAGUCCACGGAAAGUGAGCAGUUAGGACAUUCCACAGCACACGGCCAUGGUACUGGGACAGACGACGAGCGGUCUAGACAUGACAGCCUGCUUUCAGAGCUUAUGCGCUGCUUCAGAGAACAGGCAAUACAUAAAAUGACUCUGCGCAUGACCAGUUUGUAAAAGCUGGUCCUUUGGAAGCAAAAAAGGUAUUUAAGAACAUUUUCAAGGUGAGCAUGAUGGUGCAUACCAGUUUACAGGAGGCUGAGGAUUUCACGCUGGAUUUUGAUUCUGUUAACAUGCUAGUCCAAGCCCAGAUCACUCAGGGGUUUCCGAUGUAACUGGUAUUAGUAUUGAUCAUGGUCACAGUAAACACAGCCUCAUGGUCCCGAUGAUGGUAGUGGUGGGGAGAGCUGUGUAUACUGGUCAUCCUUCACAGAUCUCAAGAGUCUGUGCAAUUAACACAGAAGUGGAAGCUCACAGUCAGCUAUUGGAUGGAUCA